UCCUGCAGCCUGGGAGACCCUCACCUUUAA
rnacentral:piRNA from 1 species